CUCCCGGGUGGUGCAAGUAUCAUUUGUUCAGCAGCAAAUCGGUGGGAAGGGGGAAUGGGACUGUCAAUACCGCCUGGAAAAUGUGUUUUCUUCGGGUGUGGAAAGCGAUAAAGACCCUCCACUGCCUGCAACCCCAAAUGAACACCUGAAAAAGGCAAACACAUGGGUGCCAGGGGCAAAUGCUUUCAUUCACGGAAUCUGAAUUCUCAGAGCAAAUGUCACCAGGUGAAAUCAGAAGAAAAUAUCACAAUGUGUAAAGGAUGUUAUAAAGACACCAAAAAUGGCUUCCUGGCUAGUAAGAGCUAAUUAAUGCCAUCUCAAGGAGGCUGGGUGGCUUUGGAAACAGCCUAAAGACUGAUCUGAUGAAUAUACUGUUCCCUUUUGCAAGCUGCAGCAUAAUAAAGAUAAAAAAUGUGUUACACUGCAAAGAGAGAAACCCUGUGGAUACAAAUGCUAACUAUAAACCACACGCAGGAAACUGGCCGUUAUUGAGACAUGAAGGAUCGGCAGGUUCUUUCUCAGCCUAUGAGCUGUAUCGUUGAGCAUGAACACUCUCAGUAAGAGUCAUACUUAUAUCUAUCAGUCCUAACUGGUUCUCUUCUACUGCAUUAUAAUGGUUUGGAUGUGAAAUGUUCCUUCAUGGACUCUCGUGUUUAAAACACUUAGUUUCCAGUAGGUGAUGCUGU